AUGGAUCCUAUUUUUAUGGAACACAACUAUCCAUUAUCUUUUUUAAUUCUAAAAUAAAUUUACUUAUUUUUUUAAAAAAACCUCUCGCAAGCGCGGAAACGCGUGCAGAGAGACUAGUAUAUAUAAAGCAAAAGACAGAGAAUAGUAAAACAUUCAAAAUACCAUAAAAUGCCCUUUGUUAAUUCAAACAUUAAGAAUUGAAAUUAUUAAUUAAAUGAGGAUAAUAUGGUAAAUUCACAUUUUUUA
rnacentral:lncRNA from 1 species